CAGCAGCAGCCGCGGUAAUACGGAGGGUGCGAGCGUUAAUCGGAAUUACUGGGCGUAAAGCGUACGCAGGCGGUUUGUUAAGUCAGAUGUGAAAUCCCCGAGCUUAACUCGGGAACUGCAUUUGAAACUGGCAAACUAGAGUCUCGUAGAGGGGGGUAGAAUUCCAGGUGUAGCGGUGAAAUGCGUAGAGAUCUGGAGGAAUACCGGUGGCGAAGGCGGCCCCCUGGACGAAGACUGACGCUCAGGUACGAAAGCGUGGGGAGCAAACAGGAUUAGAUACCCCGGUAGUCCCUGUCUCUUAUAC
rnacentral:rRNA from 1 species